AUUGAACGCUGGCGGCAUGCUUUACACAUGCAAGUCGAACGGUAACAGGUUAAGCUGACGAGUGGCGAACGGGUGAGUAAUGCAUCGGAACGUGCCCGGUCGUGGGGGAUAACGCAGCGAAAGCUGCGCUAAUACCGCAUACGAUCUGAGGAUGAAAGCGGGGGACCGUAAGGCCUCGCGCGAUCGGAGCGGCCGAUGUCAGAUUAGGUAGUUGGUGGGGUAAAGGCCUACCAAGCCGACGAUCUGUAGCUGGUCUGAGAGGACGACCAGCCACACUGGGACUGCGACACGGCCCAGACUCCUACGGGAGGCAGCAGUGGGGAAUUUUGGACAAUGGGCGCAAGCCUGAUUCAGCAAUGCCGCGUGCAGGAUGAAGGCCUUCGGGUUGUAAACUGCUUUUGUACAGAACGAAAAGCUCUUCUCUAAUACAGAGGGGUCAUGACGGUACUGUAAGAAUAAGCACCGGCUAACUACGUGCCAGCAGCCGCCGUAA
rnacentral:rRNA from 1 species